CUCAGCCAUCAACUACAGCUGAACCAGGCAGGGAAGGGGACUGGAAGCACCUCAGGCACUGAUGGGAUGUGACAGACAUGGUCUGGGAAAAAAUCCAAUGCAUUAGGUAACAAGCUUCACUUCGGAAAGGGUAGCACAUUGCAUAGCAAGGACCUGAAAAUCCCAGCGUGGUGCAAACAGACCUCAGAGCCAGCAGAUGAGCCACACCAAUCACAGUACAUUCAGUCAGUGUUAACAAUCUUUCCAGUCCACUGCCCGUGCAAUAAACCUGGGGUGAGAUGAGA